rnacentral:rRNA from 1 species
CACGUAGGGUGCGAGCGUUGUCCGGAAUUAUUGGGCGUAAAGAGCUCGUAGGCGGUGUGUCGCGUCGGCCGUGAAAACCUGCAGCUUAACUGUGGGCUUGCGGUCGAUACGGGCAUCACUGGAGUUCGGCAGGGGAGACUGGAAUUCCUGGUGUAGCGGUGAAAUGCGCAGAUAUCGGGAGGAACACCGGUGGCGAAGGCGGGUCUCUGGGCCGAUACUGACGCUGAGGAGCGAAAGCGUGGGGAGCAAACAGG